rnacentral:lncRNA from 1 species
UUCUUUGCAAAGUUAAAGGGCAUUGGUUUCUUUGGAUAAACAUAUAUACCCAAGGAAUUUUAGGUCUUGAACAAACACUUAUUACAUAUGGUGUUUUCACUUCAAAUCCCUACAGGUCUACUAUUCAAACGAGCCUAACCAGACAACACAGGAUAUUGUGAAUAAGUGCUGUCCCUGUUUAGUUUAGGGCCACGAUUCCUUUCCCCAGAGCUUUGGGGCAGAUUUCUCUUCUCUGAUGCCUCAGAAGGCCUGAAAUCUUAAGCUGACUCCCAAAAUACACUUUCUGUUUGUGAAAGAACUGCCUGAUCUACCUACAUGUUUUCCGAGCAAUAUCUUUUUUUUUUUCCACUUUAAAUAAGUAAACUAUCAAUAAGCUUCAUUUAACUAAGUCCAUCUUUUACAGACCAAUAACCCUGUGAGUGGAUAGAUAAAAGAAGUUUCCCUUAUGGACAAAACUGAUGACCAGGUGCGAGGAUGUGCUGCAUGGCAAUGCAGUGCCAUCACG